GACGAAGGAUGCAAGCGUUAUCCGGAUUCAUUGGGUUUAAAGGGUCCGUAGGCGGUUUUGUAAGUCAGUGGUGAAAGCCCAUCGCUCAACGGUGGAACGGCCAUUGAUACUGCAAGACUUGAAUUAUUAGGAAGUAACUAGAAUAUGUAGUGUAGCGGUGAAAUGCUUAGAGAUUACAUGGAAUACCAAUUGCGAAGGCAGGUUACUACUAAUUGAUUGACGCUGAUGGACGAAAGCGUGGGGAGCGAACAGG
rnacentral:rRNA from 1 species